rnacentral:lncRNA from 1 species
UGAAAGGUGGCAAGACAGGUUUUAUUCAGACUCCUGCUUUGGGGGAGAUUCCAGGUCAGACAGAACUCAGCCCCAAUUAAAGGGGACUGAGGCUUCUGAAGGGAGAACAGAGAGAGAACAAAAAGGGAUGCUGGGGAAGUGAAGAAGGGGGAACAAAAAGGGCCUGGGGUUUAUGUGGAAAUGGAAAUUACAGAAGGGGUCACUAGAGAAUUCCUGAAAACAAUUUGGUGCAAGCUGGGUUGGGACAAUGCACAUUUUGUGGUUUGGUAGCAUUGCAUUUUCUUGAGUAAAGACUUAGUGCAAGGCAGGGGUGGGGCCACCUUUAGAGACACAGCCUAGAGCAGGCGGAGCCAGCCUGAAAUGUGGUCAAGUCUCAAGCAUGGUGCCUAAGGGAGCGAUCUGUGCCUCCUGAGAGCUCACUGUUCACAGGCCCAAGCCUUCAAACUCUAGAUAUUUUGCAUGUCAUAUGUAUUAGAUACUGUAUUCUUUCAAUAAAGUAAGCUAGAGAAAAGAAAAUGGUAUUAAGAAAAUCAUAGGAAGAGAAAAUAUAUUUACUAUCCAUUAAAUGGAAGUGGAUCAUCAUAAAGUAAAGGUCUUCAUACUCACCAUCAUCACAUCGAGUAGGCUGAGGAGCAGGAGGGGUGGGUCUUGCUGUCUUAGGGAUGGCAGAGGCAGAAGGAAGUCCGAGUAUUAGUGGCCGCAUGCAGUUCAAGCCUGUGCUGUUCAAAAGUCGACUGCGUAUUUUUCAGAACAGUGUCUGGCCCACUCAAUGUUUG